CUUUAACAGACAAUGGACACGCUUUUCAGGCGGAUGAUAAAGUCUUACACAGUUGGGUUGAUCGUGAGAUCGAAGUGGCCCUUCAUGUUCACGAAGUUCGUGUAGCUUAUGACAAGCAGAGUGAAGCGCGCACUGCUCUUGCUAAUGAACUGUCAAAGCUAAAGGCGGAGGAAAUGUAUGAUCGUUCAUACAA